rnacentral:rRNA from 1 species
UUGCACGCUGGCGGCAUGCCUUACCCCUGCAAGUCGAACGGCAGCACGGGUGCUUGCACCUGGUGGCGAGUGGCGAACGGGUGAGUAAUACAUCGGAACAUGUCCUGUAGUGGGGGAUAGCCCGGCGAAAGCCGGAUUAAUACCGCAUACGAUCUACGGAUGAAAGCGGGGGACCUUCGGGCCUCGCGCUAUAGGGUUGGCCGAUGGCUGAUUAGCUAGUUGGUGGGGUAAAGGCCUACCAAGGCGACGAUCAGUAGCUGGUCUGAGAGGACGACCAGCCACACUGGGACUGAGACACGGCCCAGACUCCUACGGGAGGCAGCAGUGGGGAAUUUUGGACAAUGGGCGAAAGCCUGAUCCAGCAAUGCCGCGUGUGUGAAGAAGGCCUUCGGGUUGUAAAGCACUUUUGUCCGGAAAGAAAUCCUUGGCCCUAAUACGGUCGGGGGAUGACGGUACCGGAAGAAUAAGCACCGGCUAACUACGUG